UUAUCAAUUUUUUUUUUUUUUUUUUUUUCCCCGCGGAUUUUUGGUU
rnacentral:ribozyme from 1 species